rnacentral:rRNA from 1 species
GAUGAACGCUGGCGGCGUGCCUAAUACAUGCAAGUCGAGCGAACAGACGAGGAGCUUGCUCCUCUGACGUUAGCGGCGGACGGGUGAGUAACACGUGGAUAACCUACCUAUAAGACUGGGAUAACUUCGGGAAACCGGAGCUAAUACCGGAUAAUAUAUUGAACCGCAUGGUUCAAUAGUGAAAGACGGUUUUGCUGUCACUUAUAGAUGGAUCCGCGCCGCAUUAGCUAGUUGGUAAGGUAACGGCUUACCAAGGCAACGAUGCGUAGCCGACCUGAGAGGGUGAUCGGCCACACUGGAACUGAGACACGGUCCAGACUCCUACGGGAGGCAGCAGUGGGGAAUCUUCCGCAAUGGGCGAAAGCUUGACGGAGCAACGCCGCGUGAGUGAUGAAGGUCUUCGGAUCGUAAAACCCUGUUAUUAGGGAAGAACAAAUGUGUAAGUAACUAUGCACGUCUUGACGGUACCUAAUCAGAAAGCCACGGCUAACUACGUG